CGGGAGCCCGAGCUCCCCCACCUGGGAAGGGCCCACGUUGCAGCGCCUCCCGCAGCAGUCUGGCCUGAGCUGCAUCAGCCUCACCGGGUCCGGCUGGGAGCAGGGUGGAGGCUCCCCUGAGCCCAGGGGCAAGGCCCAAGCCACACACGCAGCACUUCUCUGCUCCAGCCCGGCCAGAGAGGGAGCCUGCGGCUGGGGUGCAGCCUCGCAGGGUUUCCAGUUUCCCAACGUGAUGUGAUCUCCCAGCUGGAACAAGGGGAAGAGUCAUGGGUCUCAGACCUCCAGGAUUCAGAGGAAAUAGAGAUCCUGAGCGCUCCCUACACAGCAGGUGAUGCAAUGGUAUGUGAGAAAGAGGAGCAGAAUUCUCAGCAGGAAAAUGUUGAGCAAGUGGAUAAACACAGAGCAUUAUCGCAAAGAUCAAAAAGGAAUGUGUCCAGGAGUCAUGAGCAGGGAAAAUCCUGUGAGAUUCAGCACAGACCAGAAAGAGAGCAAGGAAGCCAGUCAGGGGAGAAAGUGUGUAAAUGUAUUUCCAGUCGGGGAACUCAGAAGAGCCUCAAGGAAAUCACAACACAGCAGGAAAUCCUCAGAGGGAAGAGAAAAAAAUACAUGCACUGAGUGUGGGAAAAACUUCCGUGACUACUCAGCCCUUACAAAGCAUUAUAGAAUCCACACAGGAGAGAAGCGCUAUGAAUGCUGUGCGUGUGGGAAAAGCUUAGCUAGCAGCUCAGCCCUUUAUGAACAUCAGAGAAUCCACACAGGGGGGAGGCCCUAUGAAUGCAGUGAGUGUGGGAAAUCUUCCAUCGCAGCUCACACCUUAUUACCCAUCAGAGAAUCCAUACAGGUGAGAGACCCUAUGAAAGUAGUGAGUGUGGGAAAAUCUUCUUUUAGCACUCAGCCCAUGUUAGCAAUUGGAGAAUCCGCAACUGCGAUCAACACCAUAAAAACCUCUAGGGCUAUCAAUAUUCUUUUUCUUUAAUAUUUCUCAUGAUUCCCAUAUAGUAACUUUUAAAGCUGUUUGAACUGUUUGCAGCACCGUUAUCCCUCAGCUUGUCCAGAUGAGUGGCCCAUUUUGGCCUUUUGCAGUUCACCCUGUUUUGAGAUGGACCCAUUUCUCCUUUCUAUCAACUCCAUUGGCUCAUGAGUAAUUCGAGUGUUCCCUUCCUACAGGGAACCAGGGAGCAUCACAUUUAUACCAUUCUUCCUAUUGCAAAGUUAUUGUUAGUCACCAAUGACACAGAUUGUAUCAUUGCCAGUUGUUCUCAUGUUGCCCUGGGUUGUGCUGAAGAGCAGUUAUAUUGGGAACUUUUCAGGUUAUAUUUAAAUGAAGAGGAGCAGGGGCAGGAAAAAAGGGUCAUUUCAGUCUCUGUGACACUGGAAGGAGAUGGAUGACUCAGAGAUUCCCUCCUUCCCCAACACUGCAGAACGGUUACCUUUUGUCUGAGCCAUGCAGAGUUUAUCUUCAUCACAUUCUAUCCAUCCACUUCUCAAAGUGGCAUGUAAUGAAGCAUUCUCAGUUGUCUGUGCUUGGAGAUGAUGCUUUUACUUCUUUAAUCCUAUAUCAGAGUCACCAUGACUGGAGAUGAAAGUAUUAAAGACCUGGAAGGGGAAUUCAAAUGGGACCCCAAACACAGUGUAAUCAUUUGGAGUUUAAAUCCCAGGUUCCAUCUACUGGUAAAGCCACUUCUGACAAGGUGAUUGUUCUGUCCCCCAUUAUGGGGAUGUUAGGAUACUAAAAAUGUUGUAAAUAGCAUAACUGAUUAUUGAGACAGUGCUGAGUGAAGCAGGUUUGAAUGGAUCAGAGGAGAAUGUGAUGGGAGAAUCUCUUGUCCUGAUUCUGAAUAAUCAGAUGUAACCUGCUCUGGAAUUUCAUUUGACACUUUCAUUGUUAUGUAUUCUAUCUCUCUGUGAUGUGGGUUUCUAUCUUUCCUGGAGGCUCUUUAGUCACCCAAUUGGAUAUUAGUUCAGUUUGAUAGGCUGUAGCUCAGAUUUAUUAGAGACUUUAAGAAAAAUGACUAUUUGCUAAGGUCAGAAUUUUUCACUUCAGCUUUGAUUUUUCCCACCCCUCCAUGAUGACAUGGAGAAAGUUCAAGUGCAGUUCUGUCAAAAGGAGAGAACUCUCCAAUUUACUCGACAUACUAACAAAGAAACAACAGUGAUUUAAAAUCUCAACUUGGAAAUGGUGAACAACAGCAGAACCCCAACUAACUGAGGGAAGUGCAUAUGAUCACAGUGUACUUCAAUUGUUUAAGUCAGUAUUGUCUCAGAUGAUCUAA